GAUGAACGCUGGCGGCGUGCCUAAUACAUGCAAGUCGAGCGAACGGACGAGAAGCUUGCUUCUCUGAUGUUAGCGGCGGACGGGUGAGUAACACGUGGAUAACCUACCUAUAAGACUGGGAUAACUUCGGGAAACCGGAGCUAAUACCGGAUGAUAUUUUGAACCGCAUGGUUCAAAAGUGAAAGACGGUCUUGCUGUCACUUAUAGAUGGAUCCGCGCUGCAUUAGCUAGUUGGUAAGGUAACGGCUUACCAAGGCAACGAUGCAUAGCCGACCUGAGAGGGUGAUCGGCCACACUGGAACUGAGACACGGUCCAGACUCCUACGGGAGGCAGCAGUAGGGAAUCUUCCGCAAUGGGCGAAAGCCUGACGGAGCAACGCCGCGUGAGUGAUGAAGGUCUUCGGAUCGUAAAACUCUGUUAUUAGGGAAGAACAUAUGUGUAAGUAACUGUGCACAUCUUGACGGUACCUAAUCAGAAAGCCACGGCUAACUACGUGCCAGCAGCCGCGGUAAUACGUAGGUGGCAAGCGUUAUCCGGAAUUAUUGGGCGUAAAGCGCGCGUAGGCGGUUUUUUAAGUCUGAUGUGAAAGCCCACGGCUCAACCGUGGAGGGUCAUUGGAAACUGGAAAACUUGAGUGCAGAAGAGGAAAGUGGAAUCCCAUGUGUAGCGGUGAAAUGCGCAGAGAUAUGGAGGAACACCAGUGGCGAAGGCGACUUUCUGGUCUGUAACUGACGCUGAUGUGCGAAAGCGUGGGGAUCAAACAGGAUUAGAUACCCUGGUAGUCCACGCCGUAAACGAUGAGUGCUAAGUGUUAGGGGGUUUCCGCCCCUUAGUGCUGCAGCUAACGCAUUAAGCACUCCGCCUGGGGAGUACGACCGCGAGGUUGAAACUCAAAGGAAUUGACGGGGACCCGCACAAGCGGUGGAGCAUGUGGUUUAAUUCGAAGCAACGCGAAGAACCUUACCAAAUCUUGACAUCCUUUGACAACUCUAGAGAUAGAGCCUUCCCCUUCGAGGGACAAAGUGACAGGUGGUGCAUGGUUGUCGUCAGCUCGUGUCGUGAGAUGUUGGGUUAAGUCCCGCAACGAGCGCAACCCUUAAGCUUAGUUGCCAUCAUUAAGUUGGGCACUCUAAGUUGACUGCCGGUGACAAACCGGAGGAAGGUGGGGAUGACGUCAAAUCAUCAUGCCCCUUAUGAUUUGGGCUACACACGUGCUACAAUGGACAAUACAAAGGGCAGCGAAACCGCGAGGUCAAGCAAAUCCCAUAAAGUUGUUCUCAGUUCGGAUUGUAGUCUGCAACUCGACUACAUGAAGCUGGAAUCGCUAGUAAUCGUAGAUCAGCAUGCUACGGUGAAUACGUUCCCGGGUCU
rnacentral:rRNA from 1 species